GGCAAGAGUGCAUGCACAUUUUUAAAAUAUAUAAGCAAUAACAGUAUAACAGGCUGAACUAUAGUGGAAUGCUAAUUGCAGUGUAGAUUCUGGUGUGUGUGAGAUAAGUUACAUUGCGAUAUACUAUUGCAAUAUUGGGAGUGCUGGGACAAGCUAGUCUGCUUGAGAGUCUAGGCAGGUGCUUAAAACAUGAGUGACCGCUGAUCUAGGGGGUUGUAGUGGAGUAUGUUGAGUAAAUGAGCGGGUGGGUAGGCUACUCUGGUUGGUUAAUUCAGUUCGCCCUUUUGUUCAUAACUAUGUUGGACAUAUCGGCACAGGACUCCUAGUUUCAGCAUCCUUAGAGUCAUUGUAGAAGUCAAAGGGGAAGGGCUAGGAAAUAAUUACAUCGCAAGAGGAAUCACUGGGCUCUCUGAGAGCUCUGUCUAUAUGUGUGUGGGUGUCAUGGCAGUGGCGACCUGAUCAUUGACCGGUUUAAUAUCAGUCACUACGUGACCUGUCUGUGUGGUAUUAAGUCGUCCAACUGUGAGUGGGUGUUGCGUGCAGAGUGGCCAGGCUAGGUAUCGUGCGCUGCCUCUCUAUACAUG